AUUGAACGCUGGCGGAAUGCUUUACACAUGCAAGUCGAACGGCAGCACGGGGCAACCUGGUGGCGAGUGGCGAACGGGUGAGUAAUACAUCGGAACGUGCCCAAUCGUGGGGGAUAACGUAGCGAAAGUUACGCUAAUACCGCAUACGAUCUACGGAUGAAAGCGGGGGAUCGCAAGACCUCGCGCGAAUGGAGCGGCCGAUGUCAGAUUAGGUAGUUGGUGGGGUAAAGGCUCACCAAGCCGACGAUCUGUAGCUGGUCUGAGAGGACGACCGGCCACACUGGGACUGAGACACGGCCCAGACUCCUACGGGAGGCAGCAGUGGGGAAUUUUGGACAAUGGGAGCAAGCCUGAUCCAGCCAUUCCGCGUGCAGGAUGAAGGCCUUCGGGUUGUAAACUGCUUUUGUACGGAACGAAACGGUGAGCUCUAAUACAGUUUGCUAAUGACGGUACCGUAAGAAUAAGCACCGGCUAACUACGUGCCAGCCGCCGCAGUAA
rnacentral:rRNA from 1 species